rnacentral:rRNA from 1 species
UACGUAGGGCGCAAGCGUUGUCCGGAAUUAUUGGGCGUAAAGAGCUCGUAGGCGGCUUGUCACGUCGGGUGUGAAAGCCCGGGGCUUAACCCCGGGUCUGCAUUCGAUACGGGCAGGCUAGAGUGUGGUAGGGGAGAUCGGAAUUCCUGGUGUAGCGGUGAAAUGCGCAGAUAUCAGGAAGAACACCCGUGGCUAAGGCGGCUCUCUAGUACGGUACUGACGCUGAGACGCGAAAAGCGUGGGGAGCGAACAGG